UCCCUGGUAGUAUAUCGGUUAGUACACGCGCCUGUCAUGGAGAAUCGUUCAACAUCGGAGAUGCGCGCGAAAGCUGGGUUCGACUCCCAGCCAGGGAG